GACGAACGCUGGCGGCGUGCUUAACACAUGCAAGUCGAACGAAGAGCGAUGGAAGCUUGCUUCUAUCAAUCUUAGUGGCGAACGGGUGAGUAACGCGUAAUCAACCUGCCCUUCAGAGGGGGACAACAGUUGGAAACGACUGCUAAUACCGCAUACGAUCUAAUCUCGGCAUCGAGGAUAGAUGAAAGGUGGCCUCUAUAUGUAAGCUAUCACUGAAGGAGGGGAUUGCGUCUGAUUAGCUAGUUGGAGGGGUAACGGCCCACCAAGGCGAUGAUCAGUAGCCGGUCUGAGAGGAUGAACGGCCACAUUGGGACUGAGACACGGCCCAGACUCCUACGGGAGGCAGCAGUGGGGAAUCUUCCGCAAUGGACGAAAGUCUGACGGAGCAACGCCGCGUGAGCGAUGACGGCCUUCGGGUUGUAAAGCUCUGUUAAUCGGGACGAAAGGCCUUCUUGCGAAUAGUGAGAAGGAUUGACGGUACCGGAAUAGAAAGCCACGGCUAACUACGUGCCAGCAGCCGCGGUAAUACGUAGGUGGCAAGCGUUGUCCGGAAUUAUUGGGCGUAAAGCGCGCGCAGGCGGAUAGGUCAGUCUGUCUUACAAGUUCGGGGCUUAACCCCGUGAUGGGAUGGA
rnacentral:rRNA from 1 species